rnacentral:lncRNA from 1 species
GGAAACCUCCUAUGCAGUUAGUUGCCUAAAACCAGUCUUUAGUUGAUGGUUUCUCUUCAUAAUGGCUGUUUUGUGUGUGAGCCUAGAUUGUGUGUGUUGGGGGUUGGGGAUGUGGAGUAAUAGUGUGUAAAGGGUAUUGUUGGUUAUGCUCAUUGGGGCUUUAUCUGUAUUCGGCUGAAGGGACCAGUGUUUUACCGAGCAGUCUCUGCUUUUGCUUCUAUAAGCAAAUGCUUACAUGGCUAGAAUGAGGGAGGGAGA